UUCUAUUUUUAUUCUUUGGUUCAAUUGAGCCUAUUCGCUCAAUGAGGGGUAAAGCACUCCACUUAUUUCCUAAGCGAAAUACGAUCAUUUUUGAGUGCUCUAUCGAAUCAAGCAUAUAACAUCACCUUGGUUUGAGUCCCUUCGCAUUGGUCGAUCCCGGGCAGUGAGAAAGCGGACUCACUCGCCAAGGUGGGCGCUAUGGAAGGCGAUAUUGAUAACCGUCAUAUCGUCUUCAAUGAUUUUUUUUUCGAUUGCUCGUCAGCAUGCCUUGGUCAGUUGGCAACAAAAAUGGGAUGCAGGAGAGUUGGACAGGUGGUUACAUUCAAUUCUCCUACAGGUAUCGAAGACGGCGUGGUUCAAGGGGUUGGAUAUGGGUCGAGAUUUUAUCAAGAUAAUGUGUCGACUUAUGUCCAAUCACUACUCUCUGGGCUCGCAUUUUUAUCGAAUAGGGCUCACAGAUAGCAAUCGUUGUAGCUGUGGUGCAGGCUAUCAAGAUAUCAACCAUGUUGUGUGGGAGUGUCCCGAAUACGGUAUUGCCAGAUCCGAUUUAUGUGCAUUCCUCAGGGCCCGAGGGAAACCAGAAAAGGAAGACAUUAGAGAUGUGUUGGGUAAACUUGAUCUUGAGUAUAUGAAGCUUGUGUACGACUUCUUGAAGCAAGCUGAAGUCUUCGUUUGAUAUCCCCGUCUUGUUGUUUCACUUGUCCACCUCGUGUCUUUAUUUGAUAUCCCAGUAUUGUUGCUCCACUUGUCCACAUUGUGUCCCUUCAACACCCAUUAAAUACACCAAAUCCAGUGGAACUAAGGUACACCGGGGCAAGUUGAAACGGGUGGGGCAAGAUGAAACAGCGGGUUAACAUGAUGUUAUCCAAUGAUGGUGAACUGCUUGAAUGCCAUAACACAUAGUUUUUGAUUCAAACAAUUUUUUGGCGAAAGAAAAAAUUCCAAAUUGUUUUGAAAUCUAUUUCAAAACUUCGUGUUUCAUCUUGCCCCACCCGUUUCAACUUGCCCCGGUGUACCUUAUUUGUUGUUGACCCGUCAGUGAAAAACCUUCUGUUGCAACUGAUUUUAGAAUGUGCUCCGAUCGGAGCGCAUCUGGGAUUCCACGGAUUUCUUGGAUCAUGGUCAGAUCAAAACCUAUAGUGCAAUCGCGAUUGGGAACAUUCAAUGAAGGGUGAACCUCCAGUCAUGUACGAGUACACUGUCAUAAAAUCAGCUUUUCAAUUACCAAUGGAUUCAGCACCUCACAGCACAGCGGAUGAGGAAUUUUAACGACAGUUCCACGAAGCGAUCUUAUAAAGGAAGUACUGCUGCUAGUACCUCCAAACUCAUUGUGUGCGUCGAGUUCAUGCAGCCUAAAUAACGUGAUCCGAAGACAACGAUACUGGAUACGCUCUAGCUUCAGGAUGUGUGUUUUCGCGCGGCGGACUGAAAGCAAAAGCUACCGUAUUCGAGAACCGACAGUAUCGUUGUACGAUAAAGCUUUAUCAGAUCUUCCGGGUGGGCUCCACACCAUGUUCCGGUGAGUGUACGCAUGAAGUUGAUUCGUUGUUGGCACUUCUGAUACAGAUAAUUAAUGUGCUUUCCCCAGGUGCCUUUAGAGUCGAACCAGACCCCUAGAUACAUAUGUGAAAGAACUUGAGUGAGUUCCUUACCCAAAAAUUGAAGCUGUAGAUCGGUUGGAUCACGCUUCCUAGAAAAGACAACUAACUCAGUUUCCUCCGGAGAGAAUUCGAUACCCAGCUUUACAGCAAAAGCAGACAAAUUGUCCAGAGUAUCUUGCAAUGGUCCUUUGUAGAUCUCCCGCCUCUGGUCCGACGAUAGACACCACGGCGUCAUCCGCAAGCUGUCGUAGCGUGCAAUUUUCCACGAGACAUUCGUCGAUAUCUCUGACGUAAAAAUUGUAAAGAAGGGGGCUUAAGAACGAUCCCUGGGGGAGACCCAUGUAACUGAUUCGUGAAGUUGCCGAGGUUCCAUGAGAGAAAAACAUGUGCUUCUCAGACAACUAGUUGUUUAAAUAGUUGUUUAAAAUCGGAGAAAGCCCACACUCGUGGAGUUUGUCUGAAAGGACAUCAACGCAAACUGCAUCAAAAGCCCACUAAUAUCCAAAAAUACUGAACCCAUUUGGUAUUUUUGAGCGUAGGCCAGUUGAAUUUCUGUAGUAAGCAGCGCCAGACAAUCGCUCGUUCCCUUGCCUCUGCAUAAACCGAAUUGAGUAUCUGAAAGGAGGCCGUUCGAUUCAACCCAUGUAUCGAGCCGAUGGAGAAUCAUCUUCUCUAGCAGCUUCCGUAAGCACGACAACAUCGCAAUAGGACGGUACGAGUUGUGAUCCGACGCGGGCUUCCCUGGCUUUUGAAUGGCUAUAACCCUCACUCGUCUCCAGUCAUCCGGAACAGUGUUGCUCUCCAAGAACAAAUUCAACAAGCGCCUCUUUGCGACGUCUGGGAGGCUUUUGAGCAAGUUGAACUUUAUUCUAUCCAUUCCUGAGGCAGAGUUGAUCGAACAAAGUUCGCAGUCACUCGAAGUUAACUAUCUACAAAAACGCUGAUUAGACCGGUAGUCCUCUAUGGGCACUAGCCUGGUACACGGUUUAUAUGGGAAAAUAUAAAAAAUGGGAAAACUUUAACUCCUGUAUACUUUUUGAGUUCCAUUUUGGUCCCAUAUCAACUGUGCAAAAUUUCAGAUCGAUCAAAGAAACUAUAUUUUAGCACCCGCCAUUCUUAGUUUUUCAUACGAUUUACUAUGGGGAAAGUUUACUUCUUCAAAGAAAAAUCGCUUGAGGUCACCCAUUGAUCCCUAAAAAUACAUCGUUGUAUACGGGAUGAAUGACCCAUAAAAGGUUAAAAUCCCUGGUAAUAAACAAACAACAACAACAUCGUUGUAUGCUUUCUGUACAUAACUUCACGAGGAAUCAGACCUCCGAAGACCGCGAAGCGAUGCGACAUUCGUGGAAAAAGUUAUUAAGCCUUACCCGAUCGAUAAAAUGACGUGAUUUUAUUAUUUAUUGUUAUUCCUUACAUGUUAAACAACGUUGGCAUGCCAUUCGGGUUUCAGUCAAUAACUUUUUCCACAUGCCUUAGAUCGCUUUGCGGUCUUCAGAGGGUUUGUUCCUCGCAAAAUUUCCAGCAGAAAUCAUUCAUCGAUAUAUUUUUAGGGGUUAAGGGGCAACCUGUGGCGAUUUUUCUUUGAAAAAGUGAUUUUCCCCAUAGUAAAUCGUCCUCCUCUCUCCUCUUCUUGGCGUAACGUCCUCAUUGGGACAAAGCCUGCUUCUCAGCUUAGUGUUCUAUGAGCACUUCCACAGUUAUUAACUGAGAGCUUCCUCUGCCAAUGACCAUUUUUGCAUGUGUAUAUCGUGUGGCAGGCACGAAGAUACUCUAUGCCCAAGGAAGUCAAGGAAAUUUCCUUUACGAAAAGAUCCUGGACCGACCGGGAAUCGAACCCGUCACCCUCAGCAUGGUCAUGCUGAAUACCCGUGCGUUUACCGCCUCGGCUAUAUGGGCCCACAGUAAAUCGUAUGAAAACUUAAAACGGCUGGCGCUAAAAUAUAGUUUCUCUGAUCGAGCUGAAAUUUUGCACAGUUGAUAUGGGGUCAAAAUGGAACUCAAAAAGUGUACAGGAGUAAAAUGUCAUUUCGUGUCCCACGCUAAUGGGCACGAAGCAUGGACCCCAUGUGCAAAGGACCAACGCAAUAAGCUAAAGGUGGAGAGCUUCAGAUCCGCGGUACCUGGAAUCCUUAUCGGUCAGAGCAACUCUCAUCUCCUAGCCACUGUGUAGCUGCGAAAGGGGAAAAGUGAACGAGCUUACAGCUACGAACACAAUCAUUGGAUGGGCAGUAUGCGUCAGUUUACGAAAACCUCAAACGAAUUCGAUGUCGUUGAUCAGCACGAGUACGUUCGCCGUUUUUUCGACAUCGAGAGCAUGGGAGUAGCGGUUGUACCAGCUGCGAAAGGAGCAGAAGAACGGGCACUGGAAAUCCUAAUAUCCACAAUCGGCGAAGUUCGAGACGGGACUGUUGUGGAAACAUGACUACGUGGAGAUGCCGGACAGUUGACCGAUGGCAGAACGUCGAAUCAGGUGCCUGGAAAAACGUUUAACCAAGAAACCGGAGUUGUAUGAAAGCGCUAGGAAGCAAAUGCAUAGCGGAUUUUCUAAGCAAGGGGUAUAUCCAUUUAGCGACAGCAGAAGCAGGUGAAAGAUUCGAAUUACGAAGAAAGGUAAGAAUCAUCUGGUAUGCGGCAGCAACGAUAUAGUUGAAGUGACUCAAUCUUCUUACACCGUUGUUGUCCAUAAUGUUCCCAUACCGGGAGCGACAAGUGGCAGUUCCCGCAGCAGAUAUCAAGGAGAUGCUCAGCAAAUCACAAUUCGUCAGCAAGAUCGCUGUACUUUGUUGUUUCCGUAUCGGGAUUCCCUUGAACUUCCAAUGAAAAUCAUGGUUUCUGACGUGGCAAUGUUUGAUGUGGCUUGCUCACCAGUUCAUUCGCAACACACAAAGAACUUGAACACGCAAGAGCAGGAACAGGAGCUACCCAGUGGUGCUGCGACAGUCAUCGAAAGGCACUUCGUGAACGACUUAUACACUCCAAAAAAUCUGAACGUCAAGGCUACGUGAAAAAUCACGUAGACCAACUUAAAAUGAACUUUUCCAAAAUUUACCUGACAAAUAUAGCAGUCAUCGGUAUAUCGAUCAAGCUUAAAUGAACAACUAGUUGUGUUUACUCUGUUUCCAUGUUUACCUUAGGUGAAAUUCACAUGCAACCCAAAAUUCAUUUUGACAACUGAAUGAAUACUAUAUUCAUUCCGUACUCUACUCGUGUUUCAAGAUGGCGUCUUUGAAAACAAUCUUUGAGAAUUGCUAGCUAAUUUGAACAUUCUGGCCUAUUCGCAGGGAAUAUUUGAGGUAAACUGAUCAAAAGUGCUGUUAUAUUGUGUGUUAACUCGAAUUUUAACAUUUGCAUAGAAUGUGGAGUUGAUUUUACCCCUACUGGCCUUUUUUUCGGACCAUAUCCGCAACCAUUUGAGCGUCGGCUCAAACACUUCGACAUUAUUUUCGAACAAGAAACUAAUCCAAAAUUACCGAUUUGGUGUCGGCUUUGCCGGCGGGUUAUUGAUUACGGCUCAUUGAUAAAGACACAUUCACUUACCCACUCAGUUGCCACCGCACCCGUUCUACAUCAACAACCACUUUUGGGCGGUGGUUGAAUCAGCAUCUGGAGAACCAGUUCCCGAAGCCGAGAUGAUUUCACCAGUCCUUGCUAGAGUCAGUCUAGUUAGAGUCUGGCGGACUGUCACUUUCGAUCGGAGCCAAUCGAGCAUGACGUCACGGUGUAGCAUUUAUCGGUGAGGACACUAUGACGUCAUGCUCGAUUGGCUCCGGUCGAAAGUGACAGUCCGCCAGACUCUAAUUAUAGGGACUCUAGUCCUUGCUGAUGGUAUUUCCAGCUUUACGAGAAACGUUCUUGCCCGUAGUGGAAGUGCUUUUUUACCUGCUUUUAAGCUACCCAGCAUGUUUACAAAAAAAUGUGAUAGUAUUUUAGAGUUAGGAACAGCUUGCACGACUAAUGUACAACUGUAAUUGCUAAAAUAAAAUUGAAUUGUAGUAUACCUACUUAACAUUUGCUAUUUACAAAAUAAUGCAUUUAUUCAAUUAUAUAGUGUAAACGCAAUAUUCUUUGCUUCUGCUUUGGUGCUAGCCCUUUCAUACACAACGAAAUAACGGAAGAAACUAAGAAGUGAGUUUUAGGUAUAGCAGAAGCGAAGAAUAAUGCGUUUACCCUUUAGUAAUUGAUCUAAAAUUAUC